rnacentral:rRNA from 1 species
GACGAAGGUGGCGAGCGUUGUUCGGAAUCACUGGGCAUAAAGCGCACGUAGGCGGCGACGUAAGUUGGGUGUGAAAUCCCUCGGCCCAACCGAGGAACUGCGCCCCAGUACUGCGUUGCUUGAGGAUCCAAGGGGUGCAUGGAAUUCCCGGUGGAGCGGUGAAAUGCGUUGAUAUCGGGGAGGAACUCCGGCGGCGAAAGCGGUGCACUGGUGGAUUUCUGACGCUGAGGUGCGAAAGCCAGGGGAGCAAACGGGG